rnacentral:rRNA from 1 species
UACGUAGGCAGCAAGCGUUGUUCGGAAUUACUGGGCGUAAAGCGUGUGUAGGCGGUUGGGUAAGUCUGGUGUGAAAUCUCCCGGCUCAACUGGGAGGGUGCGCCGGGAACUGCCUGGCUGGAGUGCGGAAGAGGAGAGUGGAAUUCCCGGUGUAGCGGUGAAAUGCGUAGAUAUCUGGAGGAACACCGGUGGCGAAGGCGGCAUCCUGGACCGGUAUUGACGCUGAGGCGCGAAAGCUAGGGGAGCAAACGGG